rnacentral:rRNA from 1 species
AGUGAACGCUGGCGGUAGGCCUAACACAUGCAAGUCGAACGGCAGCACAGUAAGAGCUUGCUCUUACGGGUGGCGAGUGGCGGACGGGUGAGGAAUACAUCGGAAUCUACUUUUUCGUGGGGGAUAACGUAGGGAAACUUACGCUAAUACCGCAUACGACCUACGGGUGAAAGCAGGGGAUCUUCGGACCUUGCGCGAUUGAAUGAGCCGAUGUCGGAUUAGCUAGUUGGCGGGGUAAAGGCCCACCAAGGCGACGAUCCGUAGCUGGUCUGAGAGGAUGAUCAGCCACACUGGAACUGAGACACGGUCCAGACUCCUACGGGAGGCAGCAGUGGGGAAUAUUGGACAAAGGGCGCAAGCCUGAUCCAGCCAUACCGCGUGGGUGAAGAAGGCCUUCGGGUUGUAAAGCCCUUUUGUUGGGGAAGAAAAGCAGCAGGUUAAUACCCCGCUGUUCUGACAGUACCCAAAGAAUAAGCACCGGCUAACUUCGUG